rnacentral:miRNA from 1 species
AUGAAGUGUGAUGUGGAUAU